AUUGUAUCCGGUCUUCAUUUUAG
rnacentral:miRNA from 1 species